GGAAUCACCUGAUGAAACCGAACCUGAAAUCCCCAAAGCAGCUGGGGCCUACAGGUUGAAAAGCAGAGGUGGAAGGGAGAGAAUUCUUAGCUGCAGUUGUUGCUUUCUGAACUGUCAAGUCUGUUUUAUUAUUUUGCCAAAGAAAUCUCUCUCUGCGAUUUGGGUAAGAGUUCUCAUUAUUUUUUGAUGUUGAGCGGUUUUACUCUGCACUUUUUUUUUGAUUCAUCAGUUGCUAAUCAAAUAGUCAAAAGCCAUUUUUAAUGACAUCUGGGUGGUGAUAGAACACAUGAAACAUGUUGUUAAUUAAAGUGGUUGGUAUCUAAAAAUAACAAUAUGGACUUUAUUCUGAAGCAUAGAUGAAGCCAGCAUGGAUAAACUGCAAUGGAGUCAUACUUAGUUCUUUAGGACUAUAGUUUAGAACCUGCAUGCAAGUGAAGAUUAUUAGGAAUAAGCUAAAAGUAAUUCAUGA